rnacentral:sRNA from 1 species
UCAUAUACCUACGCGUACGAUGGCCAAAC